CGGGUGAGUAACACGUGGGUGAUCUGCCCUGCACUUCGGGAUAAGCUUGGGAAACUGGGUCUAAUACCGGAUAGGACCGCACUUUAGUGUGUGUGGUGGAAAGUUUUUUCGGUGUAGGAUGAGCUAGCGGCCUAUCAGCUUGUUGGUGGGGUAAUGGCCUACCAAGGCGGCGACGGGUAGCCGGCCUGAGAGGGUGUACGGCCACAUUGGGACUGAGAUACGGCCCAG
rnacentral:rRNA from 1 species